rnacentral:rRNA from 1 species
UACGGAGGGUGCAAGCGUUAAUCGGAAUUACUGGACGUAAAGCGUGCGCAGGCGGUUUGUUAAGUCUGUUGUGAAAUCCCCGAGCUCAACUUGGGAAUUGCAAUGGAUACUGGCAGGCUGGAGUAUGGUAGAGGAAGGUGGAAUUCCCGGUGUAGCAGUGAAAUGCGUAGAGAUCGGGAGGAACACCAGUGGCGAAGGCGGCCUUCUGGACCAAUACUGACGCUCAUGCACGAAAGCGUGGGGAGCAAACAGG